rnacentral:rRNA from 1 species
GGGGAAUAUUGCACAAUGGGCGCAAGCCUGAUGCAGCGACGCCGCGUGAGGGAUGACGGCCUUCGGGUUGUAAACCUCUUUCAGUAGGGAAGAAGCGAAAGUGACGGUACCUGCAGAAGAAGCGCCGGCUAACUACGUGCCAGCAGCCGCGGUAAUACGUAGGGUGCGAGCGUUGUCCGGAAUUAUUGGGCGUAAAGAGCUCGUAGGCGGCCUGUCACGUCGGAUGUGAAAACCCGGGGCUCAACCCCGGGCCUGCAUUCGAUACGGGCAGGCUAGAGUUCGGCAGGGGAGACUGGAAUUCCUGGUGUAGCGGUGAAAUGCGCAGAUAUCAGGAGGAACACCGGUGGCGAAGGCGGGUCUCUGGGCCGAUACUGACGCUGAGGAGCGAAAGCGUGGGGAGCGAA